rnacentral:lncRNA from 1 species
AAAAGCCAUGGCUGCUUGUUAUCCGGUCAAUGGAACGGGUUAUGUACGUCAUGUUGAUAAUCCAAAUGGAGACGGAAGACGUGUGAAAUGUAUUACAUUACGUUAAAGAACGGGAUGCCAAGCCCUGCCUGAUGUGGCUCUGGGAAUUCCUGCAGAGAAGAGCAGGGGUGGCCAGGAGAUAGUGAGCAGCUCCCAGGAGGCAUGGAGGGAUCCAGAACCUGGACUGAAGAACCACCUAGAAAUAACUCAGCAGAAUUCUGAAAAUGAGGUCACGCUGGAUUUUCCAAUCCAUAGGCCCAAAGUGAACUCCCACGUGGAGUAGGAUGAAAACCCACAGCAUCUAGAUCUUCAAAUUCUGGAGAAAAAGAGAGUGUGAAAGACUGCUCAGUGGCUGGGGUGAGAGUCAAGUCUGGCCAGGUGCUAAUCUGGAGAAAAGCCAAGACCUGGAGCGAGCUGGAGUGGCAGGCCCUGGAGGAUGAGAAGGUGGCAGGAGUGCACUGGGGAUACAAAGAAACCAAGAUUUUUCUGGGAAUUCUCAGAGGCCUGGAUCCACGAAAAACUCCGCACCUGCCAUCGAAACCACCAGGUGUACCGGAUUAUGGCUGAGCAGCUGUGAGAACAUGGCUUCCUGUGGACCCUGGAGCAAUGUUGCUAUCGGUUCAAAAACCUCCUGACCGACUACUGCAAAGCCAGGAGCACCUACACACCAGGCACCAGUGUCUUCUAUGAUGAGAUGGAUGCCCUGUUGAGUCUUGGGGCACUUUCUAACACCUUUGAUGCCUUAGAGGUGGUAGGAGGCCUUCUUUGGGAUUGAGAGGAUUCCAAAGGGAACCAGGGCAUAGCACUAGAAGAUGUGGCGGGAUGGUAAUGAAAUAGUGGAGGAGUCUCAAGAGGAAUCCUGGAGGCUUGGUCCCCAGGCCUUGAGGUGGAAUCCCAGUGGCAACUCUCCCCCACAAUGGACCUCAGAGCAGUGGGAGCGACGCAGUCCUGUGGGAAGCAUUCAGGCUCAGAAUCAGGAGAUGUGAUUAUUGUCCUGGCUCUGUUAUGACUAAUUUGGGUCUGGAAUGGCCUCAUCGGGGGAAAAAUUGGUGACAACUUUAAGAAAUACUGUUUAUAUCCCGUCCUCAAAUAUUGCUUGACUCAACCCUCUACUGAACCAGUAGUCCAGGGUGGCUCACAAAGACCACUUUGAGGCUCUUGCUCUGCUCUUUAGCCAAGGAGUCUCCCUUCCUGCCUUCAGUAACAACAUUACAGGAAGAGAGGAGAGAAAGGUAGGAGUUAAAGAUCCAGUCAUUUGUUUCCAUCUAAAGUGCCCUAUAAGCCGGGCAUGGUGGCGCAAGCCUGUAGUCCCAGCUACUCGGGAGGCUGGGGCAGGAGAAUCACUUGAGCCCAGGAGUUGGAGGCCGCAGUGAGCUGUGAUCAUGCCACUGCAUUCCAGCCUGGGCGACAGAGUGAGACCCAGACUCAGCUGAAAAAUAAUAAUAUUAUUAAAAGAAUUUAAAAUAAAGUGUUCCAUAGAUGUGAACCCUGCGUAGAUUAUACACACCAGUCUGCCAUUUAAAAGGUUUGUUGUUCUUGGGCAACCUCUUUAAAUACCCUUAGCCUCCAUUUUCUCAUCUGGACAGUGGACAUUGUGAUGGUUUCUACCUCCCUGGGCUGUUAUGAGGAUCCUGACACAGUAUUAGCACUUGGCAAACGUUAGUUUUCAUUAUCAUCAUCAUUAUAAUUAUUAUGAAAAUAGAUAAGGGCAUUAUCCUGUACCCUCAAAGGAGUAAAAGGGGGAAAAUGAGUCAUUAAACUUUCUCUUCUGGGAACUAGACCUUCUUGAGAGGCACUAUCAUUCUCAUUUCACCUGUCACUUCCAGACAUGGGAGCAGAAAGUGAAUUUCAGAACUCCAUGUCCCCUCCUGCUUUUCUCUGAGCAGGACUUCCAGUUCCCCAGCCAGAUGGGGUCACAAUGCUGCAGAAAAGUGAAGAGCUUUGGAAUGAAGAUCUCCCGGACUUCAAGGAGAUUCAGAAAACGUCCAGUGCAGGUGGGAAAUGAAUGGGAGCUAGCAUUCCACCAACAAAGUCAGCCCUGGGAUUCUAAACUCGGACAAGCCAGCACUGGUUAAGGGCUGAGGGGAACCAGGCACUCAGUGCACCCAGUUUACUAUUCUGUGGUGUGGAAAGCACAGGACUUGAGAAGCAGGUGGCACCCAGGAAAGCCUG